rnacentral:lncRNA from 1 species
ACCUCAUAUAUAAGAUAUAUCUAUCUAUAUGUCCUCUAUAUAUUCUAUAUCUACAUCAUGUACACACACACACACGGACAUGCACAGACACAUGCAUAUAUAUUUUCUUGUCCAAUAUAGUACACAUAAAUAUAUGCAUAUAUGCCUAGAGGUAGACAAAUUGAUUAAUCAAUAUCAGAUAUACAUCUACCUAUCUAUAUCUAUUCACAGUUAUUAGGUACUUAUACAUACAGUUAGAGGUCUUUAUGACAGAGCUCUGACUUUGCACACUUGUGGAGCUGGUUGAGCAGUCUCUGUAAGGCUUUGGUGCUGUUUUUGAGUUUGAUGCCGAAGCCAGACAUCCACAAGGCAGGAGUUCACGAAAAGAAGAGGAACAUGACAUGGGAGGGAUCGGGGGCAGGAACCUGCAAGGACAGACUGAAACCCAUAUCAAAUCUUGGUGCCUCUGCCCCUCAUGAAAGCCAAUACAGAGACCCACAUGGCAGAGGCUUCUAGUAAUUUUGCCCUAAAUUUUAGUAACAGAAUCCCUAUAUGCACGUAAUAUUUCACAGCCUACCUUGCAAACAGAUGUGGCUGUCUGAUUAAGUUUUGGUCAACGGGUGAAAGCAAGUGUUACUUCCGGAUAGUAGCAUGAGAGGGUUAGGAGGGAUGGCCUCCUUCUGCUUUUUCUCUUUCUAUUCUGCUUUGCUGAAUGUGUAUGUGGAGGUUAGUGCUACAACAGCCCCUAUUAGCACAUGGGACACAGUGGAGUGAAGACCUGGAAGAAGUCCCGCUCCUUGAUGAGUUAAUGAGGCCACCAUAUCCUCCCUAUACUGCCUCCUCCAGACGUCAUUUCCAUGUCAGAGCCCGUAAUACUUGUGUGGACCUGCUUUGGAAUGAAUGUACCCAGAAGAGCUCUCAGCUGGUGACUGAUGCAAGCUGAUUCUGCAGAAAUGCUCCAUCCCCUGUGCCCUCAGGUAGGCUAAUUCUGGAGUAUCUUCCACUUGCCUUCCAGAAUUCCCAGGGAAGAUUCUCCUCUAGUUACCCAGAAGGAUAACUUGCUGAAUAACAAACACCCUCCUGGCCACCCUCUUUAGUGUCUCAGUUCCCACUCCCCCCUCCACUCUUCCCCAGGAACCCAUCCCAAAUAAACUACUUGUACUGGAAUUCUUGUCUCA